GAAAUUCCAAUCGAACCCGGAGAUAGCUGGUUCUCCCCGAAAUAGCUUUAGGGCUAGCGUCGGAAAGAACCUUAGUGAAGGUAGAGCACUGAAUGUGUGAUGGCCCCAUCCCGGGGUACUGAAUACAAUCAAACUGCGAAUGUCAUUAAGGAUGUCCGGCAGUCAGACUGUGAGUGAUAAGGUCCAUGGUCAAGAGGGAAACAGCCCAGACCGCCAGUUAAGGUCCCAAAAUACAGGCUAAGUGGAAAAGGAUGUGGGGAUGCCCAGACAACUAGGAGGUUGGCUCAGAAGCAGCCAUCCUUUAAAGAGUGCGUAACAGCUCACUAGUCGAGUGACCCUGCGCCGAAAAUGUACCGGGGCUAAGCCUGAUACCGAAACUGCGGAUUGUAGGAAACUAUAGUGGUAGGGGAGCGUUGUAUACGAGCAGAAGCCGUACCGUGAGGAGCGGUGGAUUGUAUAGAAGUGAGAAUGCCGGUGUGAGUAGCGAGAUGUAGGUGAGAAUCCUACACACCGAAAGCCCAAGGAUUCCAGGGGAAGGUUCGUCCGCCCUGGGUAAGUCGGGACCUAACGCGAGGCCGAAAGGCGUAGUGGAUGGAAAGCAGGCGAAAGAUUCCUGCACCCGUAUAUGGAGCGAAGGAGUGACGGAGACGGAUAGUGUGACCCUCUUAAUGGAUUGAGGGCGAAGCGAAGCGGCUGGUUACCAGGCAAAUCCGGUAACCAAAAGGCUAGAGCGUGACAGGUAAGCGAAAUCUUAGGAAAGUAGCGAAGCACAUGAUGACGGCUUCCAGGAAAAGCUUCUGGCAAUGCAUAUGCGGCCCGUACCAAAACCGACACAGGUGGGCAGGGAGAGAAUCCCGAGGUGAGCGAGAGAACUGUUGCCAAGGAACUCGGCAAAAUGACUCCGUAAGUUAGCGAGAAGGAGUGCUUAAGCAAUUAAGCCGCAGUGAAGAGGCCCAAGCGACUGUUUAACUAAAACACAGCUCUCUGCGAAGUCGCAAGACGAAGUAUAGGGGGUGACACCUGCCCGGUGCUGGAAGGUUAAGAGGAUCUGUUAAGAGCGAUCUGAAGCAGUGAUCCGAAGCCCCAGUGAACGGCGGCCGUAACUAUAACGGUCCUAAGGUAGCGAAAUUCCUUGUCAGGUAAGUUCUGACCCGCACGAAAGGUGUAACGAUUUGGGCGCUGUCUCGGCAGCAGACUCGGUGAAAUCUUAGUACCUGUGAAAAUGCAGGUUACCCGCAACUAGACGGAAAGACCCCAUGGAGCUUUACUGCAGCCUGAUAUUGAAUUCUGGUCAUACAUGUACAGGAUAGGUGGGAGACAAAGAGACGUGCACGCCAGUGUACGAGGAGUCGUCGUUGGGAUACCACUCUUGUGUGACCGGGGUUCUAACCUGGUAUCGAGAACAGGUACGGGGAGAGUGUCAGGUGGGCAGUUUGACUGGGGCGGUCGCCUCCCAAAGAGUAACGGAGGCGCCCAAAGGUACGCUCAGAUUGGAUGGAAACCAAUCGUCGAGUGCAAUUGCAGAAGCGUGCUUGACUGUGAGACAAACAAGUCGAACAGGGACGAAAGUCGGGAAUAGUGAUCCGGCGGUGCCGAAUGGAAGGGCCGUCGCUCAACGGAUAAAAGCUACCCUGGGGAUAACAGGCUGAUCUCGCCCAAGAGUUCACAUCGACGGCGAGGUUUGGCACCUCGAUGUCGGCUCAUCGCAUCCUGGAGCUGGAUUCGGUUCCAAGGGUUGGGCUGUCCGCCCAUUAAAGCGGUACGCGAGCUGGGUUCAGAACGUCGUGAGACAGUUCGGUCCCUAUCUGUUGUGGGCGAAGGAGAUCUGCGGAGAGCUGUCCUCAGUACGAGAGGACCGGGAUGGACCUACCGCUGGUGCACCGGUUGUUCCGCCAGGGGCAUAGCCGGGUAGCUAAGUAGGGAAAGGAUAAGCGCUGAAAGCAUCUAAGCACGAAGCCUACUCCAAGAUGAGAUCUCCCAUUCG
rnacentral:rRNA from 1 species